AUUAUCGACUUCGCUUAUAUGCCAAACAAUUUUCAUCAAAUGGUCAAUUUUCAGAAUGUUUUCUAACUAAUUAACUUUGCUGAUCAAUUUCUUAUAUGAAGGAUAAAUACUUUAGGGUAAAGCUUUUGACAAUUUACAUUAGAGAUCGAGAAUUCGGAAAUCUUGUUCCUUUUUUAUCGAGAGGCUAAGGCGACAGGUAAAUCUGUGUUCAUGAGAGCUGAUUGCUUAACAAUUGAUGGAAAUAACUUUACGUUUGACCUAUUGAAUAACUAGUUGAUGAAGUAAGUUUUUUGAAGACAAAGUCCUUCCCAAAAAGAGGAACCGCCAUUUAUUAACUUUGUGUUCCAGCCAUUACACUUUUUAAAAAACUUUUUAAAAACUUAAUCAUAAUUAUCGCCAUCGGACGAAGAUUUACCAAAAAAAAGUUGAUGAAGAUUGAAACUUUUUUAUUACCAGGGAAGUUGACGACUCAUCAAAUGGAGGAAAACUAAAAACUUUACUUGUUAUCUCUUGCUCAGAUGAUUUUUUUACGUUAACGGUUUUAUCUUAGAAUAGCCAAGGUUUAUUAUAUACUAAUUUUGCUGAUACGAGUUUUGUUGAUUUUGUCUUUUCAUAUCGUAUUAUUGGUAUAACUGAAUCGUGGAUGAUAUUUUCGAUGGAAAACUUCUUUCGACGUUGGAUUCUCAAUUUUAUUUUAUUGAAUUUCUAGCUCACAAAUCUGAGGGACCUGGAAGAUCAUCUAGUGGUUUGUUAAUAGUUUUCCCGGAAGCUUGAAAAUAUUUUCUUGGUUCAUGCGAUUUUCAAGAAUCAGAAUUCAGUCAACAUGGUUUACAAUCUCUUGAUUUUUCUCAGGUUAGAAGUUCUCAAGAACUAUUUUCCGAUCAUUUCUCACAGUCGGAAAAAGAGGAACCGUCCCAAAUUACUACAUCCAUAAAUUCAACAAGAAAAGCAUCAUUGAUAGAAGACUUUGGAAAAAAUACAGAUGAAAUGUUAAACGUUUCAAAAUUAUUAAUGGAUGCUAAGGAAAAAGAUGAAAAGGUAUUCUUAGAAAAAAUUUCUCAUGAUAUAAAAGAACAUUCUUUGAAAUUAUCAACUCUCUCUGAAAUUAUGCAAAAAAUGGUCGAUGAAAACAGAAAUAAUAAACAAAAAAUCUCUGAAUUUAUGGAAGGAAUAAACAAAUAUUUAGAAAAGACCGAACACGAAAUUUUGUUGACAUCACAAAACUUAAAAGAAAUAAUCAAGAUUCAGGUGAGAAAAUUAAAAUUAUUUUAAAAUAUUCUAUAUAAAAUAAAUUUACAUUUUGAUUGUGUAUGACACA